rnacentral:rRNA from 1 species
UACGUAGGGGGCAAGCGUUGUCCGGAAUCAUUGGGCGUAAAGCGCGUGUAGGCGGCCAUCCAAGUCCGAUGUGAAAGCUCGGGGCUCAACCCCGAGUCUGCAUUGGAAACUGGAUGGCUUGAGUCCGGAAGAGGAGACUGGAAUUCCUGGUGUAGCGGUGAAAUGCGCAGAUAUCAGGAAGAACACCGGUGGCGAAGGCGGGUCUCUGGGACGGUACUGACGCUGAGACGCGAAAGCGUGGGGAGCAAACAGG